rnacentral:rRNA from 1 species
AUUGAACGCUGGCGGCAGGCCUAACACAUGCAAGUCGAGCGAGUGGCGGACGGGUGCGUAAUGUAUGGGACUCUGCCUGAUGGAGGGGGAUAACUACUGGAAACGGUAGCUAAUACCGCAUACCAUCAGAUGUGCCCAUAUGGGAUUAGCUUGUAGGUGAGGUAACGGCUCACCUAGGCGACGAUCCCUAGCUGGUCUGAGAGGAUGACCAGCCACACUGGAACUGAGACACGGUCCAGACUCCUACGGGAGGCAGCAGUGGGGAAUAUUGCACAAUGGGCGCAAGCCUGAUACAGCCAUGCCGCGUGUAUGAAGAAGGCCUUCGGGUUGUAAAGUACUUUCAGUCGGGAGGCGUUACCCGCAGAAGAAGCACCGGCUAACUCCGUGCCAGCAGCCGCGGUAAUAC